rnacentral:rRNA from 1 species
UAUCUCUGUAGAGUCUGCAUAUCAAUAAGCGGAGGAAAAGAAACUAACAAGGAUUCCCCUAGUAACGGCGAGUGAAGCGGGAAGAGCUCAAAUUUGAAAUCUUCAAGGUUCUACCUUGACGAAUUGUAGUUUAAAGAAGUGUUUUCUGUUAGAUGAGUAGCAAAAGUUCCUUGGAAUGGGACAUCAUAGAGGGUGAGAAUCCCGUAUUUGGUUAUUCAUUCUAGCUUUGUGAUACACUUUCAAAGAGUCGGACUGUUUGGGAAUGCAGUCCAAAAUGGGUGGUAAAUUUCAUCUAAAGCUAAAUAUUGGCGAGAGACCGAUAGCGAACAAGUACCGUGAGGGAAAGAUGAAAAGAACUUUGAAAAGAGAGUUAAACAGUACGUGAAAUUGUCAAAAGGGAAGCGUUUGACACCAGUGUUGUUUUCUCGAAAAUCAAUUAAAAAAGGCAGGAUUUUGUGUUGUAUUGACUUUAUCAGCUUUCUGCACUCUUUUCUUGUCUUUUUUUAAUGCACUUUUCGUUUAACAAGUCAACAUCAAUUUCUUUUGUUGUAAAAGGGUCAUUGGAAGGUGGCUUUCUUUUCGGAGAAAGUGUUUAUAGCCUUUGACUUCUGCAAUCGGAGAGACUGAGGUCUGCAGCGUAGAUCCUUCUGGAUUAGAUUCAUUUGUGCUAAGUUACAACCGUUUAUAGACAACUUGUUGACUAUAUUCGAUCCUGUUAGCUUACUCGCUUAUGUAAUUUUACCUACGCUUAGGAUGUUGAAGAUGUAGCACAUCAU